GACGAACGCUGGCGGCGCGCUUAACACAUGCAAGUCGAGCGAAGCGGCGGACGGGUGAGUAACACGUGAGUAACCUGCCUUAGACAUUGGGCUAGCCUCGGGAAACCGGGAUUAAUACCAAAUGGUCUAAGGUGGACUCGCGUCCCAUUAGCUAGUUGGUGGGUAACGGCCCACCAAGGCGACGAUGGGUAGCCGGGCUGAGAGGGUGAACGGCCACUUUGGAACUGAGAAACGGUACAGACUCUACGGGAGGCAGGAGUGGCGAAUAUUGCACAAUGGAGGGAACUCUGAUGCAGCGACGACGCGUGAACGAAGAAGGCUUACGAGUCGUAAAGUGCUUUUAUAUGGGAAGCGGUACCAUAAGAAAAAGCCCCGGCUAACUACGUGCCAGCAGCCGCGGUAAUAC
rnacentral:rRNA from 1 species